rnacentral:rRNA from 1 species
UACGGAGGGUGCAAGCGUUAUCCGGAUUUACUGGGUUUAAAGGGUGCGUAGGUGGGCAGGUAAGUCAGUGGUGAAAUCUUCAAGCUUAACUUGGAAACUGCCAUUGAUACUAUUUGUCUUGAAUUAUCUGGAGGUAAGCGGAAUAUGUCAUGUAGCGGUGAAAUGCUUAGAUAUGACAUAGAACACCCAUUGCGAAGGCAGCUUACUACGGAUAUAUUGACACUGAGGCACGAAAGCGUGGGGAGCAAACAGG